UAUAGGGUCUUCUCUACAAGUAAACAAAUCAUGGAGGGCGACGGAGCAAAUUUGCACAUUUCGUCAAAAGCGUCAGAUAGUAACCAGAAAAAGCAAACAUAUAAAACUUUUGAGCAUGUUAGCGACAUUUUAUCGCCGUUAGAAUAUCGUUGGGCUUUUAUCCAGGAUGUUUUAAAGUGGAGCAAUCUGGAAUUAUCUGUUUUGAUUUUCAACACCAUCAAUGUUUUGUUUUGGUGUUUUCUUACACCGUAUUUAAAGAAAAUCGUCAUCGUAGCUUUCGUGUUAUCGCUGUUAUUGUUGUUGCCUCCCAUUAGAGAUUCGAUAGCUUCGAUCAAUUGGAUAAAGAAACAAGAAAAUGGUAACUUUGAAAAUACUAUGAACAAUGAUGACCAGAUGUUAGCUAAUGAUGAAGGCCAGAACAAAAGCUGUGAGAAGAAUAUUUUUUCGUAUAAAGAAUUUUGCUUUGGUUUGGCAAAUAUUUUGGACAGAUUUGUUGAAUACUGGAAGAAACUGAAAACAUUAAAAGCAGAAAAUGCCCAAAAGGAAUCACAAACUCUUUUUCCAAGUGGAUGGGGGACAAACAUUUCAUGCAUGUGAAGAAGAUAUAUCAAAUGACAUUAAUUCAUCAUAAUUCUCACUUUUUAAUUUUCUCUUUAGUUUUAUUUAGUAAUAUCUUUCCUUGGUCUUUUCUUUGCUAUUGUUUAUACACAGUUUCCAAUGGGGAAUAUUUUAUAUCUGACAGUCACUUUCUUGUACCUAUGGCCAGCAAUUGUAUUUUAUGGUGUUAAGGAUAAAGUUCUUCAUAAAGCUAGAAAAUUAUUGCAGCCCUUAUUUACUCAAUGGGAAAACAGUAGAACAAAACGCAAAAGAAAUGUACAAUUGGAAGUUAGUGAGCCAGUAUCAGAUGACAGUGACGAUGAUGAAUUUAAUUUAAACACUGCACAUAAACAAACAUUUCUUGUUUCUCCUAUUACACCAGAUGAAAGAAUACCUCAAGAACCACCAAUGACAGAUCCUCUAGACAGCUCUCUUACAUUCGUUGACGGCCUCGAGUUCCCAUCAUUUGCACGUCGUGACAGUGCUGACUCUGUCAAUUCUGAUGAUUUCGUUCAGGGUUUGAAUUUUAACAAUUUCACGCCCGUAUCACAUCAAAGCUCCAUCGAUUCUAUCGAAAAUCAUGUUACGUUAUCAAGUCAAAAUCUGGAUGAGACAUUACCAGGUAAUGAUGCGAUCCAUGUACAAAAUGAAAAAGAUGUUCUCUUAAGGACUCAUGAUGAACCUGAAAAUGAUCAUGGACUACCAUCGAUCAUCGUAAGCUCUGAAGAUGAUUUUGAAAUAAUCAGUACAACUGAAGUUGAUGAAUUUGACGUGAGCGACCUUCAUAACAAUGAACCAUCGACAGCUGAUUCAUUGAAAAAAUACUUUGGUUACUCUUGAAAAAAGCGUUCUUGAAUGAAUUUUUUCCUUCAUUUUGACCAUCUCCUUUACCAACCACAUGUAUUCUUGGGUAAAGCUACGUAUAUUUCAUUGAUGCAAAGAAUACCAUUUUAACUUGACUUAUUGAAUUUACGUUUGGCCCGUUACCACUGUUGCUAACGAUGUGAAGAAAUCUUUCCUAGAUUUAUUGAAUCUAAAUGCAAGUAAUCGUUAUAAUUGUACACCAAUUCUUAUCGUAGUGUUCAUCUAUUAUUUGGCUAAAAACAUUGAAAAGAAAUUAGCAUUUCGUGCCACAGUUCGCACAUAUAUUAGCGCAACAGUGGGACGGAGCUGUAUGUGCCAUAUAUCUUGCACAAAAACAUUUUUUCCAUCCUUUUCACUGAAAUUCGAUUUUGCCUUGUAAGGGAGUGGAAAAAAGAAGGAAAAUCUUUAAAAUUUUAUGUAAAGGAAAUAUAGAACCAUUUUAUGCUAUUAGCCGAGCUUUACAAGAUAGGAGACGAUAGGAAAACGUCACUAAAGUUAUCAGCACGCACGAUCUGAAAAAACCUUUUAUGGAAUAGUUGAACUUUCAAUUAUCUGACAGUAAGAGUUUCGCAAAUAAUAACCAUUGUUAAUAACCACUGAGAAGCACUUUUGAAAUAGCUUGCGCACGAAAAUGACAAAGCUAAAAAGUGAUUGGAACACGUAUAUAUAGAAUUGAAAUAUAAGACAUGUUGUUCUAACUUGCAAACUUCGAUGAAAUUUGGCCAAAUCGUGCACUCCAAAAUCUGUCAUAUUUUAACCCUAUGUCUUCCAUUUUCUUAUUAGCUGCAUAAUUUUCGCGCACAACACAAUUCUCAUUCUAAAAAUUGUUAUUUUUUGCGACAAUUUUACUGUCAGAUAAACCAUUAGAAGUCGCACCGAAAAUUUUGGCAAUGACUUUAGUAAUGUUUUCCAAACUGUUCAGUUUAUUUUUAUGCACCCUGUAGAGAGUAAUAAGAAGAAAGUGUAGUCAAGUUAUGCUUAGCAAAACAACAGCGGUGGUUUGCUGUUUAAUUCAUACGUCCCUACAUUAUGGUAAAAUUUUAUAAAGGAUGCGUGUCUGUGUCCAUGUUUAGUUUUAAAAUUAACAACUAUGUUGAUAAGUUGCACGUAUCGUUUAGUUAUACGCAGGACGUUCUACCUCUCACGUUCACCAUUAAAUGCAUCGCCAAGUAGAGUAGUUAACUGCCAAAAUAAUCAAUCGAUUUUCUUGAUUAUCUAUCGAUUCUCUGAAGCAAUGGAUACCACACGAUGUUUGAUAAAUUAAUUUGAUGCAGUUUGGUUAAAAAGGUCGCACUGACUCACUAAGGAAAAUGUGUCAUUGUAUAGCAAGUUGUUAAUAUAUGUGUAAUCAUAAAUAAGUAUAGUACAUUAAAUAUUUUCACGGGUUUGGUAUGUGUAAAAAUUUGUUUAUAGGGAUGUACUUUUAUAAAGCACGAUGAUGUAUUUCAAACAUUUCAACUUGUAAUUAAUUCUGGAAAUAUGUGCAUUAAUAUAUUCCAAGGUAUUCAUGUCGAAA